rnacentral:rRNA from 1 species
CAAUAGCGUAUAUUAAAGUUGUUGCAGUUAAAAAGCUCGUAGUUGGAUUUGUGGCGUACGGUGUGUUCCGGGCACUUGUUGUCUGAGUAACCUGCUGUUGCCAUCCUUGGGUGGAACCUGUGUGGCAUUAGGUUGUCGUGCAGGGGAUGCCCAUCAUUUACUGUGAAAAAAUUAGAGUGUUCAAAGCAGGCUUAUGCCGUUGAAUAUAUUAGCAUGGAAUAAUGAGAUAGGACUUUUUUGCUAUCUUGUUGGUUUGCGCAAAGAGGUAAUGAUUAAUAGGGACAGUUGGGGGUAUUCGUAUUCCAUUGUCAGAGGUGAAAUUCUUGGAUUUUUGGAAGACGAACUACUGCGAAAGCAUUUACCAAGGAUGUUUUCAUUAA